UGCGUAGGCGGACUAAUAAGUCAGUGGUGAAAUCUUUCGGCUCAACCGAGAAACUGCCAUUGAUACUGUUAGUCUUGAGUUCGGUUGAGGUAGGCGGAAUGUGUAAUGUAGCGGCGAAAUGCUUAGAUAUUACACAGAACACCAAUUGCGUAGGCAGCUUACUAGACCGACACUGACGCUGAGGCACGAAAGCGUGGGGAGCGAACAGGAUUAGAUACCCUGGUAGUCC
rnacentral:rRNA from 1 species